AUAUAAGCAAAAUUGACUUUUUAGAUUCAUUCAUUUAAUGAUGUAUGUGGUCCAUAAUAUGAACUACAUACAUCAUUAAAUGAAUAAACCUAAAAAAUCAAUUUUGCUUAUAU
rfam:Medicago truncatula strain A17 chromosome 6, whole genome shotgun sequence.